rnacentral:rRNA from 1 species
UAGGGAAUCUUCCACAAUGGGCGCAAGCCUGAUGGAGCAACAUCGCGUGAGUGAAGAAGGGUUUCGGCUCGUAAAGCUCUGUUGUUAAAGAAGAACACGUAUGAGAGUAACUGUUCAUACGUUGACGGUAUUUAACCAGAAAGUCACGGCUAACUACGUGUCAG